AGUAGAUAGCUUAACCUUCGGGAGGGCGUUUACCACGGUGUGGUUCAUGACUGGGGUGAAGUCGUAACAAGGUAGCCCUAGGGGAACCUGGGGCUGGAUCACCUCCUUACCU
rnacentral:rRNA from 1 species